CCCUUAGAUGUUCUGGGCUGCACGCGCGCUACACUGAUGCGCUCAACGAGUUUAUGACCUUGCCCGGAAGGGUUGGGUAAUCUUUUCAAAACGCAUCGUGAUGGGGAUAGAUUAUUGCAAAUAUUAAUCUUGAACGAGGAAUUCCUAGUAAGCGCAAGUCAACAGCUUGCGUUGAUUACGUCCCUGCCCUUUGUACACACCGCCCGUCGCUACUACUGAUUGGAUGUUUAAGCGAGGUUCUCGAACUGCUAGCGACUUAGCUUCGGUGAGGUCGCAGUGUGGGAAGUGAACCUAGCUUUGGUGUCUAGAGGAAGUAAAAGUCGUAACA
rnacentral:rRNA from 1 species